rnacentral:rRNA from 1 species
GAUGGCCUACGGGGCGCAGCAGUGAGGAAUAUUGGUCAAUGGUCGGGAGACUGAACCAGCCAAGCCGCGUGAGGGAUGAAGGUACAGAGUAUCGUAAACCUCUUUUGUCAGGGAACAAAGGCGGGGACGUGUCCCCGGAUGAGUGUACCUGAAGAAAAAGCAUCGGCUAACUCCGUGCCAGCAGCCGCGGUAAUACGGAGGAUGCGAGCGUUAUCCGGAUUUAUUGGGUUUAAAGGGUGCGCAGGCGGUCUUUUCAGUCAGCGGUC